UCCAGAGGCGCCACUCUCUUCCCCGAAGUUCUCCAAGUCUGGUUCGACUUCGGCCAUGAUCAGGUGUUCGCAUACCUGCUAUUGUCUGCUAACUCGGCGGGGACGGCGCUGGCGAGGACGCUGAAGGGCGGUGACACGUGUACGGUUAGCAAUGCAUUCUGCGUGCAAUCGUAUAUUGCGAUUGCCUUGGGAUUUGCUGGGUUUGCGUUCUUAGGGUUAUCGUCCUUGCUCUCGGGUUUUCGGGUCGUAUGUUUUAUUAUCAACGGCUCUCGAUUUCAUCUUUAGGGUUUGAUUAGAUGGAGACUUUAGAAGAUUUUUUAAACUUUUUUACUUUUGGCUGUGUGAGAUAGGGGACUGAUACGGUGUGACAGUGUGUCG
rnacentral:misc_RNA from 1 species